rnacentral:sRNA from 1 species
CUUCUCACCACGCGUGCUCGAAGCUUGCAUACAGCCUAUUCACAUGGUAUAGGCUGGCGCUGGACUGCUCAGCGGGUGGAUAAGCCCUAGUUCACAGGACGGAAUAAACUCAAUUCACUCGCUGGUGAAGAGCUACCAUCCCAGGAUGUGCAACCGCUAAGCUACGCUUCUCUCACGUCCAUCCAGCGCAUGUCCUCCGUCGCAUCCUCGACUCAGUUACGGAUUCCAGAAGGGGGCAUAAACUAUCCUAAGAUACGUAGGUGGAUACGGUGAUUUUCGUACUCCGGUCGCGAAAGGGAAUCAAAAUAAAUCCCCACUCCUCGAAACCAACCACCAGGCCCCCCCACCGACGGCCCAGACAAAUUCGCCCAUUAGCUACCCCCAUACACAUCGUAACAGAAUACCCGUCCAAAAGAAAACGAAUACACGCCACAUAUAUAUAAUAUAGAAUGUCCGUCUGGAAUCCAGAAAACAUCCGCGACGUCGCCGAAUCAGUCGGCAUCGGCGCCCUCAGCGACGAAGUGGUCGACAACCUCGCGCGCGAUGUCGAAUACCGCAUUUCGCAGGUCCUCGAGGAGGCGCUGAAAUUCAUGCGCCAUGCCAAACGUACGUUGCUGACGACGCAGGAUGUUUCGCACGCGCUGCGCGUGUUGGAUGUGGAGCCGCUGUAUGGCUACGAGUCGACGAGGCCGUUGCGGUUCGGCGAGGCGACGUUGGGCCCUGGACAGCCGCUUUUCUAUGUGGAGGAUGACGAGGUUGAUUUUGAGAAGUUGAUUAAUGCGCCGUUGCCGAGGGUGCCGAGGGAGAUUACGUUUACGGCGCACUGGCUGGCCGUCGAGGGAGUGCAGCCUACAAUACCACAGAACCCCGCGGGGGCGGAUUCGCGGAAUCUCGAAUUGGUGUCCAAGGGUCCCAAUGCCAAUGCCAAUCUCGCAGCGAUGAGCGGGAACGACAACGUCACUGUCAAACCGUUGGUGAAACACAUCCUCUCCAAAGAGCUGCAACUCUACUUCGAGAAAGUGUGCACUGCGUUCCUAGACGAGUUAAACGAUGAGUACCGGCUCUCUGCAUUCUCAAGUUUGAAAGACGACCCGGGCCUGCAUCAGCUCGUGCCGUAUUUCGUCCAGUUCAUCUCCGAGAAAGUCACGCAUAGCCUCAAGGACCUAUUCGUGCUGACGCAGGUCAUGCAUAUGACCGAGGCGCUGAUCCAGAAUAAAACGCUCUAUGUGGAUCCUUACGUCCCUUCCCUCAUCCCCCCAGUCCUCACCUGCCUCCUCGGCCGCCAACUGGGUACCAGCACCGGCGCGGCCGAUCACCUCGAACACUUCGCCCUCCGCGACCUCGCAGCCUCCCUCAUCAGCAUGAUAGCGCGCAAGUACUCGCACUCCUCGCACACCCUCCGCCCCCGCCUCGCGCGCACAUUUCUGAGAGACUUCCUGGACCCGGGCAAGCCGCUGGGCACGCACUACGGCGCCAUCAUCGGCCUGCAGUCCAUCGGCGGCGUUGAUGUGGUGCGUGAACUCAUCGUGCCGAAUCUGAAGACGUAUGAGAUUGUGUUGAAGGAUGCGACUGCUACGACGACAGGGGCUGGUGCGGGUGCCAGCGCCGGGUCAGGGGUGGAGGAAACGGUGAGGAGGUUGGAGGCCGAGAAGGUUAUUGGGGUUAUAUUGGCGGUGUUGGGGACGUUGGGCGAUGGUGAACUGCAGGCAGGGAUGGAGAUGGUGACAAAUGGGGUUUCGGAGA